AAGCCCAUGGAAAGGGCAUAGUCUUAACAAAUCUUUAUAACGAUCCCGCGUAUCAAAAAAGGAUUCACCAUCUUCUUUCCUAAAGUUAUUUUAAUCUCAUUCCUGACUU